GAUGAACGCUGGCGGCGUGCUUAACACAUGCAAGUCGAACGAUGAAGCCCAGCUUGCUGGGUGGAUUAGUGGCGAACGGGUGAGUAACACGUGAGUAACCUGCCCUUAACUCUGGGAUAAGCCUGGGAAACUGGGUCUAAUACCGGAUAGGAGCGUCCACCGCAUGGUGGGUGUUGGAAAGAUUUAUCGGUUUUGGAUGGACUCGCGGCCUAUCAGCUUGUUGGUGAGGUAAUGGCUCACCAAGGCGACGACGGGUAGCCGGCCUGAGAGGGUGACCGGCCACACUGGGACUGAGACACGGCCCAGACUCCUACGGGAGGCAGCAGUGGGGAAUAUUGCACAAUGGGCGCAAGCCUGAUGCAGCGACGCCGCGUGAGGGAUGACGGCCUUCGGGUUGUAAAGCUCUUUCAGCUGGGAAGAUAAUGACGGUACCAGCAGAAGAAGCCCCGGCUAACUCCGUG
rnacentral:rRNA from 1 species